UAGUCUGUUGAAACACUGCAAAAUGCUAGGUUUGGCGGAAACAUGAAAAGAGGGGAAGAAAGGAUAUAGGAAAUGUUUUACCUGCUUUGCUUCUAUUCUGUAAACCAUUCCUGUUACUGUUUUGUGGACUGAAUAUCUCUGAACAUGAUUUGGUCAACAACCGGAAAGCCACAGGCAGACCCUCGCAGGUGUAAAGAGUCCUAGGUUCCCUUGAAGCUACUAGAGCUAUUACAAGAGAAAGUUUCUUCAUUUGAGAAGACUGAUCGUUCUUAUUUUGGCAACCAGGUUAAAACCAGAUCCCAAGGAAAUUAGAAAGAAUGUGUCCACUGAGUUCACUGCAAGUAAGGUACAUCCCAUUGUACACCGAAUUGUUAUUUAUGAAUGGCAUUGUUCUUUUAUCAUAGAAUGAUUCGAAUUGUUAUUAAUGACUGUGGUUAAAUUCAUAUUGUUUGAUUGUGUGAUUGAUUUAAACAUGUGUCAUUCAAAUAUUUGGCCUAAAUACACUGAUUGUACAGGUUUUGGGGGGAAGAGGGAUUUAACCUUGGAUAUUUGUUCAACUGGGUCAUGUCUAAGCUAAAGAGUUAUGCAAUGUGUACCUUUAUUACUGUCUACAGAAUAUUUUAUUACAAACAUAGUUUGUCGUGAUGUUUGUACUCUUGACUUUGAUGGUUGGAAAUUCAAAAUGCUCCUUUUUAAGGGGAAAAAACCCUUUAAAUCCAGUGUGUGUGUGU